UAGGGAAUUUUCCACAAUGGGCGAAAGCCUGAUGGAGCAAUACCGCGUGCAGGAUGACAGCCUUCGGGUCGUAAACUGCUUUUAUACGAGAAGAUUAUGACGGUAUCGUAUGAAUAAGCCUCGGCUAACUCCGUGCCAGCAGCCGCGGUCAGACGGAGGAGGCAAGCGUUAUCCGGAGUGACUGGGCGUAAAGAGAUGCGUAGGCGGUAUGUAAAGCGAACAGUGAAAUCUCAAAGCUCAACUUUGAGGC
rnacentral:rRNA from 1 species